UUUGCCUCCCAUUUCAUUGCAUUCAUUACAAGCUUCCUUAUACCAAUUUCCGUAUUCAACAUCGAAACCACAUUUCACAGCCUUCUCCACCAAACUUUUCCCCUUUUUUAUACCUUCUUUCAACCAAUCUAUCGUAACCAUCACUUCUAUGUUCAUUGUACAUUCCACCUUUUCCAUGUUCCGAAUCGCCGCCGACGAUUCGAAUCCAUAAUUCGCUCUCCGAAGCUUUCCCCAUUUCCCACUGCACCAAAAUUUGUACCUCUUCGGAAUUGGAAUGUAGUUUUCCCCCGAGCAAUUGUACCACACCGAUAUGUUUUGAUUGUUGGAAGCAUACGCGAACAGAUGCCCAUCCAUAGUCGCCACUCGGAUUUCAUUUUCUGGGCAGUAAUUCUCGAAUAGUUCAGUUUGAAUUCUUGCCGCCCGCAAGACUUCUGCUUCUUGUACCCCAGAAGGGAUACUUGAUGACUGAUGUUUACCAAUUCUCCACAAUUGUAACCCUCACCGCAAACUUCAAAUGCAUCUAGGGCGUCUUCGUUGAAACAUGGUGAAAGAUGAAUCGCGAUUAUGGUAUUUUAAUGAUGUUGGACUAUGCACGUGUACUAUAUGGUUUCCUGCUUGCCUUCAAAUCAUACCAGUUUGGAAUAGUCAAUUGUUAACUCAAAAAGGAAAAAAGAUAUCAAAUUUUGGGAGUCUUCAAACAGGGGAAAUUGUUGUUCUUAUGUUGCUUCUGCUGG